rnacentral:rRNA from 1 species
GGCGUACCUUUUGUAUAAUGGGUCAGCGACUUACAUUCAGUGGCAAGGUUAACCGAAUAGGGAAGCCGUAGAGAAAUCGAGUCCGAAUAGGGCGAUCAGUCGCUGGGUGUAGACCCGAAACCAAGUGAUCUAUCCAUGGCCAGGAUGAAGGUAGGGUAACACCUGCUGGAGGUCCGAACCGACUAGUGUUGCAAAACUAGCGGAUGAGCUGUGGAUAGGGGUGAAAGGCUAAACAAACUUGGAAAUAGCUGGUUCUCUCCGAAAACUAUUUAGGUAGUGCCUCGUGUAUUACCGUCGGGGGUAGAGCACUGUUAUGGCUAGGGGGUCAUGGCGACUUACCAAACCAUUGCAAACUCCGAAUACCGAUGAGUACAGCACGGGAGACAGAGCACCGGGUGCUAACGUCCGGACUCAAGAGGGAAACAACCCAGACCGCCAGCUAAGGUCCCUAAAAUUG